rnacentral:rRNA from 1 species
AGUGAACGCUGGCGGUAGGCCUAACACAUGCAAGUCGAACGGCAGCACAGGACAGCUUGCUCUCUGGGUGGCGAGUGGCGGACGGGUGAGGAAUACAUCGGAAUCUACUUUUUCGUGGGGGAUAACGUAGGGAAACUUACGCUAAUACCGCAUACGACCUACGGGUGAAAGCAGGGGACCUUCGUGCCUUGCGCGAUUGAAUGAGCCGAUGUCGGAUUAGCUAGUUGGCGGGGUAAAGGCCCACCAAGGCGACGAUCCGUAGCUGGUCUGAGAGCAUGAUCAGCAGCACUGGACCUGAGACACGGGACAGGCUCAUACGGGAGGGAGCAGUGGGGACUAUUGGAAAAUGGGCGCAAGCCUGAGCCAGCCAUACCGCGUGGGUGAAGAAGGCCUUCGGGUUGUAAAGCCCUUUUGUUGGGAAAGAAAUCCAGCUGGCUAAUACCCGGUUGGGAUGACGGUACCCAAAGAAUAAGCACCGGCUAACUUCGUGCCAGCCGCCGCCGUAA